UCACAGGGUGUUUGUUGUGAGGGGGGAAGGGCAAGGAGAUUGUAAGCCCCUUUGAGUCUCCUGCAGGAGAGAAAGGGGGGAUAUAAAUCCAAACUCUUCUUCUUCUCUUCUUCUUAAUGUUCCUGCUCCUUGUUUAUAUCCCUCGAGGAAGAAGGUGCACAAUGGAUUAUUGUUGGGAGAGAUGCUCCGAGGCGCGGUUCGUGUUGACACCGCUCCUGAAGUGGGGGGCGGGGAGGUGUGAUCCUUCUUGGUGUCCCCCUUCCAGCUGCUAAGCCGCUGUUGUAGCAGAGGAGGUAGCUGGUACAAGGCCUUUGGGCCUGCGAGAAGCACUUUUGUCAGAUGGAGAUUUUCCUCCCAGGUGUCUCUGGGAUCCCAUUUUGCGUCUGUCCCCUCUACUGAGCUUUCUCAACAGGGCAGUCACCCUAUUUAAAAAAAAAAUAAACCCCAGUAAGGCUUUGAUGCUUUUAACAGCUGCAUGCUAUGCAGAAAUGCAGCA